GUAAUAUCUCUCGUUACAGGUUCUCGGUGUGCUUCUGCCAAAACCCAAAUUUUCUAUGGUUGACCUCGGAUCAGGUAGGGAUACCCGCUGAACUUAAGCAUAUCAAUAAGCGGAGGA
rnacentral:rRNA from 1 species